rnacentral:rRNA from 1 species
AUUGAACGCUGGCGGCAGGCCUAACACAUGCAAGUCGGACGGUAGCACAGGGGAGCUUGCUCCUCGGGUGACGAGUGGCGGACGGGUGAGUAAUGUCUGGGGAUCUGCCCGAUAGAGGGGGAUAACCACUGGAAACGGUGGCUAAUACCGCAUAAUGUCGCAAGACCAAAGAGGGGGACCUUCGGGCCUCUCACUAUCGGAUGAACCCAGAUGGGAUUAGCUAGUAGGCGGGGUAACGGCCCACCUAGGCGACGAUCCCUAGCUGGUCUGAGAGGAUGACCAGCCACACUGGAACUGAGACACGGUCCAGACUCCUACGGGAGGCAGCAGUGGGGAAUAUUGCACAAUGGGCGCAAGCCUGAUGCAGCCAUGCCGCGUGUAUGAAGAAGGCCUUCGGGUUGUAAAGUACUUUCAGCGGGGAGGAAGGCGAUGUGGUUAAUAACCGCGUCGAUUGACGUUACCCGCAGAAGAAGCACCGGCUAACUCCGUGCCAGCCGCCGCAGUAA